GCGGCGUGCUUAACACAUGCAAGUCGAACGGUGAAGCCAAGCUUGCUUGGUGGAUCAGUGGCGAACGGGUGAGUAACACGUGAGCAACCUGCCCUGGACUCUGGGAUAAGCGCUGGAAACGGCGUCUAAUACUGGAUAUGUGACGUGAUCGCAUGGUCGUGUUUGGAAAGAUUUUUCGGUCUGGGAUGGGCUCGCGGCCUAUCAGCUUGUUGGUGAGGUAAUGGCUCACCAAGGCGUCGACGGGUAGCCGGCCUGAGAGGGUGACCGGCCACACUGGGACUGAGACACGGCCCAGACUCCUACGGGAGGCAGCAGUGGGGAAUAUUGCACAAUGGGCGGAAGCCUGAUGCAGCAACGCCGCGUGAGGGAUGACGGCCUUCGGGUUGUAAACCUCUUUUAGCAGGGAAGAAGCGAAAGUGACGGUACCUGCAGAAAAAGCGCCGGCUAACUACGUGCCAGCAGCCGCGGUAAUACGUAGGGCGCAAGCGUUAUCCGGAAUUAUUGGGCGUAAAGAGCUCGUAGGCGGUUUGUCGCGUCUGCUGUGAAAUCCCGAGGCUCAACCUCGGGCCUGCAGUGGGUACGGGCAGACUAGAGUGCGGUAGGGGAGAUUGGAAUUCCUGGUGUAGCGGUGGAAUGCGCAGAUAUCAGGAGGAACACCGAUGGCGAAGGCAGAUCUCUGGGCCGUAACUGACGCUGAGGAGCGAAAGGGUGGGGAGCAAACAGGCUUAGAUACCCUGGUAGUCCACCCCGUAAACGUUGGGAACUAGUUGUGGGGACCAUUCCACGGUUUCCGUGACGCAGCUAACGCAUUAAGUUCCCCGCCUGGGGAGUACGGCCGCAAGGCUAAAACUCAAAGGAAUUGACGGGGACCCGCACAAGCGGCGGAGCAUGCGGAUUAAUUCGAUGCAACGCGAAGAACCUUACCAAGGCUUGACAUAUACGAGAACGGGCCAGAAAUGGUC
rnacentral:rRNA from 1 species